ensembl:scaRNA
GCGCUCACUAGGCCUCGGUUCUCUCCACAUGGUCCUGACCCCCCCUCUGUGAGCAAGAGAAAUAGAACUGGUUUGGGGGUGUCCUGUCCAAGGGGACACAGGACAUCACGGUUUUCAGUACAACA